GAUGAACGCUGGCGGCGUGCCUAAUACAUGCAAGUCGAGCGAACGGACGAGAAGCUUGCUUCUCUGAUGUUAGCGGCGGACGGGUGAGUAACACGUGGAUAACCUACCUAUAAGACUGGGAUAACUUCGGGAAACCGGAGCUAAUACCGGAUAAUAUUUUGAACCGCAUGGUUCAAAAGUGAAAGACGGUCUUGCUGUCACUUAUAGAUGGAUCCGCGCUGCAUUAGCUAGUUGGUAAGGUAACGGCUUACCAAGGCAACGAUGCAUAGCCGACCUGAGAGGGUGAUCGGCCACACUGGAACUGAGACACGGUCCAGACUCCUACGGGAGGCAGCAGUAGGGAAUCUUCCGCAAUGGGCGAAAGCCUGACGGAGCCACGCCGCGUGAGUGAUGAAGGUCUUCGGAUCGUAAAACCCUGUUAUUAGGGAAGAACAUAUGUGUAAGUAACUGUGCACAUCUUGACGGUACCUAAUCAGAAAGCCACGGCUAACUACGUG
rnacentral:rRNA from 1 species